rnacentral:rRNA from 1 species
UGGGGAAUUUUGGACAAUGGGGGAAACCCUGAUCCAGCCAUCCCGCGUGUGCGAUGAAGGCCUUCGGGUUGUAAAGCACUUUUGGCAGGAAAGAAACGUCGCGGGUUAAUACCCCGCGAAACUGACGGUACCUGCAGAAUAAGCACCGGCUAACUACGUGCCAGCAGCCGCGGUAAUACGUAGGGUGCAAGCGUUAAUCGGAAUUACUGGGCGUAAAGCGUGCGCAGGCGGUUCGGAAAGAAAGGUGUGAAAUCCCAGAGCUUUAACUUUGGAACUGCAUUUUUAACUACCGGGCUAGAGUGUGUCAGAGGGAGGUGGAAUUCCGCGUGUAGCAGUGAAAUGCGUAGAUAUGCGGAGGAACACCGAUGGCGAAGGCAGCCUCCUGGGAUAACACUGACGCUCAUGCACGAAAGCGUGGGGAGCAAACAGGAUUAGAUACCCUGGUAGUCCACGCCCUAAANGAUGUCAACUAGCUGUUGGGGCCUUCGGCCUUGGUAGCGCAGCUAACGCGUGAAGUUGACCGCCUGGGGAGUNCGGUCGCAAGAUUAAAACUCAAAUGAAUUGACGGGGUCGAUAGC